GUUAAUAAUUAUUUUAAAAUUUAAGUUUGAAUUUUAAUUUAAAUAAAAAAGUUUUUGGUUUAAUUAAUAUUUAGGAAAAAAUAUUUUUCAUUAUAGAGUAUAAGAUACUGAAGGGGAAAUUUUAUUUAAAGUUGAAGGAGUAAUUUAGUGUACCUUGUGUAUCAGGGUUUAUUAAAUAUAAAUUAUGAAAUAUAUUUUUCUCGAAUUAAAAAGGGCUAAAUUUGUAAAUAUUAUAUUGUGGAAAAACUAUUUAUAAUACAAAUUUAGAAAUGAAAUGUUAUUCGUUUUUUAAGAUAUCUAGUUUUUAAAGAAAAAAAUUUAAUUUUUUUUUAAAAAGUAAAAAUUGAUUGUUCAAUUAAUUUAUUUUUAAAAUUUUAUAUAUUUAGGGAUGAGCUUGAAUAUAAAGUAUUAUAAUUUAAUAUAGAAAUUAUUUAUUUUAAGGAUUUAAAUUGUUCAUAAUUAUAAGGAUGUAAUAGUUAAAAAAUAAUAGAUUAAGAUUUAUAUUUAGUUUAAUUUUUUUAUUUAAACAUUAAGAAUAACUAUAAUAUUAAAGAGAAAAUGAUAAAAUUAGUAUAAUUUUAAAUUAAGAAUAUACAAGAUAUAGUUAAUUAUAAGGAAUUCGGCAAAAUAAUUUUUCACCUGUUUAUUAAAAACAUGUCUUUUUGAAUUUAAUUUAAAGUUGGCCCUGCCCACUGAAAUUUAAAUGGCCGCGGUAUUUUGACCGUGCGAAGGUAGCAUAAUCAUUAGUUUUUUAAUUGGAAGCUGGAAUGAAGGGGUUGAUGAAAAAGUUACUGUCUCGUAAUUAUUUAAUUAGAAUUUUAUUUUAAAGUAAAAAAGCUUUAAUUUUUUUUAAAGACGAUAAGACCCUAUAGAGUUUAAUAUAAUUAAGAAUAUUAUUAUAGGAAUUUAAAUAUUUAAUUUUGAAAUUGUAUUUUGUUGGGGUGACAGAAAAAUAAGGUUAACUUUUUUUAGUUAAAACAUUAAUUAAUGGAGAAAUGAUCUGAAAAUUUCAAUUAUAAGAUAAAUUACCUUAGGGAUAACAGCGUAAUUUUCUUUAAGAGUUCAAAUCGAAAAGAGAGUUUGCGACCUCGAUGUUGGAUUAAAAUAAAAUUUUGGAGUAGCAAAUAAAAAAUUUAGGUCUGUUCGACCUUUAAAAUUUUACAUGAUCUGAGUUUAAACCGGUGUGAGCCAGGUUGGUUUCUAUCUUGAAGAUAAGUAAAUAUUAUAGUACGAAAGGAUUUAAUAUUAAGUUAAAAAUUUAAAUG
rnacentral:rRNA from 1 species